rnacentral:rRNA from 1 species
UACGUAGGUGGCAAGCGUUGUCCGGAUUUACUGGGCGUAAAGAGCGCGCAGGCGGUCGUACAAGUCGCGUGUGAAGGCCCCCGGCUCAACUGGGGAGGGUCACGCGAUACUGUUCGACUCGAAGGCAGGAGAGGGAAGCAGAAUUCCCGGUGUAGUGGUGAAAUGCGUAGAUAUCGGGAGGAAUACCAGUGGCGAAGGCGGCUUCCUGGCCUGUUCUUGACGCUGAGGCGCGAAAGCUAGGGUAGCAAACGGG